rnacentral:rRNA from 1 species
AUUGAACGCUGGCGGCAGGCCUAACACAUGCAAGUCGAACGAGUGGCGGACGGGUGAGUAAUGUCUGGGAAACUGCCCGAUGGAGGGGGAUAACUACUGGAAACGGUAGCUAAUACCGCAUACCAUCGGAUGUGCCCAGAUGGGAUUAGCUUGUAGGUGAGGUAACGGCUCACCUAGGCGACGAUCCCUAGCUGGUCUGAGAGGAUGACCAGACACACGGGAACUGAGACACGGUGGAGACGCUUCAGGGAGGCAGCAGUGGGGAAUAUGGCACAAUGGGCGCAAGUCUGAUGCAGCCAUGCCGCGGGUAUGAAGAAGGCCGUCGGGUUGUAAAGUACUUUCAGCGGGGAGGCGUUACCCGCAGAAGAAGCACCGGCUAACUCCGUGCCAGCAGCCGCUGUGAUUC